CCUACGGGAGACAGCAGUGAGGAAUAUUGGUCAAUGGGCGGAAGCCUGAACCAGCCAAGCCGCGUGAAGGACGACGGUCCUAAGGAUUGUAAACUUCUUUUGUCAGGGAACAAAAUCAGGCUCGAGUGGCUGACCGAGGGUACUUGAAGAAAAAGCAUCGGCUAACUCCGUGCCAGCAGCCGCGGUAAUACGGAGGAUGCGAGCGUAACCGGGUUUUUGGGGUUUAAGGGGUGCGUAGGCGGACGAUUCAGUCAGCGGUAAAAGCCCGGGGGUCAACCCCGGCGAGCCGUUGAAACUGGCUGUCUUGAGAUGGCGAGAGGUAUGCGGAAUGCGUGGUGUAGCGGUGAAAUGCUUAGAUAUGACGCAGAACUCCGAUUGCGAAGGCAGCAUACCGGCGCGGAACUGACGCUGAGGCACGAAAGCGUGGGUAUCGAACAGGAUUAGAUACCCGGGUAGUC
rnacentral:rRNA from 1 species